CGGUUCGACGUCGUCUAGUAGGUAGUUUGUACGUCCUGGCGUCAGGACGAACGCUGGCGGCGUGCUUAACACAUGCAAGUCGAACGCUGAAGCCUAGCUUUUGUUGGUGGAUGAGUGGCGAACGGGUGAGUAACACGUGAGUAACCUGCCCCUUCUUUGGGAUAACGCCCGGAAACGGGUGCUAAUACUGGAUAUUCACUGAUCUUCGCAUGGGGGUUGGUGGAAAGGUUUUUUCUGGUGGGGGAUGGGCUCGCGGCCUAUCAGCUUGUUGGUGGGGUGAUGGCCUACCAAGGCUUUGACGGGUAGCCGGCCUGAGAGGGUGACCGGUCACAUUGGGACUGAGAUACGGCCCAGACUCCUACGGGAGGCAGCAGUGGGGAAUAUUGCACAAUGGGCGAAAGCCUGAUGCAGCGACGCCGCGUGAGGGAUAGAGGCCUUCGGGUUGUAAACCUCUUUCGCUCAUGGUCAAGCCGCAACAUUGGUUGUGGUGAGGGUAGUGGGUAAAGAAGCGCCGGCUAACUACGUG
rnacentral:rRNA from 1 species